GCCCGCACCCCCGGUAAUUUCCCCUCCCAUAGCGUAUAUUAAAAUUGUUGCAGUUAAAAAGCUCGUAGUUGAAUUUCGGAAUCUGUCCGUCGGUCGGGCUUCUCUGUCCGCACGGGCGUGAUGGGUUCCUCCCCUCGGAAUAACCCGCAUGUCUAUUAAUUUGGUGCGCCGGGAAAGCAAACCUUUCACCU
rnacentral:rRNA from 1 species